AAUGUCCUACGGGGGGCAGCAGUGGGGAAUAUUGCACAAUGGGGGAAACCCUGAUGCAGCGACGCCGCGUGAGCGAUGAAGUAUUUCGGUAUGUAAAGCUCUAUCAGCAGGGAAGAAAAUGACGGUACCUGACUAAGAAGCCCCGGCUAACUACGUGCCAGCAGCCGCGGUAAUACGUAGGGGGCAAGCGUUAUCCGGAUUUACUGGGUGUAAAGGGAGCGUAGACGGCGGUGCAAGCCAGAUGUGAAAGCCCGGGGCUCAACCCCGGGACUGCAUUUGGAACUGUGUUGCUAGGGGGUCGGGGG
rnacentral:rRNA from 1 species